UACAGAGGGGGCAAGCGUUAUUCGGAAUUAUUGGGCGUAAAGGGCGCGUAGGCGGCCGUGCAAGUGGAGGGUGAAAUCCCUCGGCUCAACCGAGGAACUGCCUUUCAAACUGCUUGGCUUGAGUCCGGGAGAGGUGAGUGGAAUUCCAGGUGUAGCGGUGAAAUGCGUAGAUAUCUGGAGGAACACCGGUGGCGAAGGCGGCAUUCUGGACUGUAACUGACACUGAGGAACGAAAGCCAGGGGAGCAAACGGG
rnacentral:rRNA from 1 species